rnacentral:lncRNA from 1 species
ACUUUCUUCAUGAUGAUUCGAUUUCCAAUUAUUGAUUCUAAAGUUCUUAGGUUUUUUGAAAUCCCUUGCUAAAGUUUUAUUGCUACGUGAUUUCUUGAUUUCAGGUUUUGCUGUUGUUGAUUUUUUUUUAUCUAUUGCUAUGAAGGAACCCUCGUCAUGGAUUUUCGGAUUAUAGAUAUCUAAAGAAUUUCGUAAUUCUUUUAAUCUUCUUUUAUUGAUCAGUUAUCGAGACUUGUUUGCAUAAUUUUUGGAUUAUUGGAUAAUUUCGUAAUUCUUCAUCAUUGGAUAACCAAGAUAUGUGUUUAUCCGUUUUGCAGCGAGGUGAAUCUAGAUCAGUUUUGCGAUUGUUGAUAUUGUGUGGAUAACAACAGAGAACGGUUCCAGAUAAAUUGAAUUGAACUGUGAACAUGAUUCUAAAUUUUUGAUUCUAAAUUGUCUUUGGUUUUCACGUUUCUUGAUUGUUUACUCUGAGAAAUCUUGAUUUCAGGGAUGGCUGUUCUUGUUUUCUUUGAUCUGCCGCUAUAAACGUGGUUUUCUCAGAUUGUAGAUAUCAAGAAUUUCACUUCUAUUCACUCUUCUUUUAACCUUCAUCGGUUAUCCAUAAUUAGUUCAAUAACUUUUGAAUAUGAUUCUUCAAUUGAUAAUCAGGUUAUGCAUUUAUCCGUUUUGCUUUUGCAGUGAGCUGAAACGUUUUUGAUGUCUAGAGCAGACUUGAUACAAUAGAUAAGAUUGGAGAACGGUCCCCGAUAGAUAAAUCAAAUUUCUUCAAUGAAUCUUUUUUUACUACUAUUUAUUUUUUGGAUUUGAUUUUAAGACGCGAAAUUGAAUUAAGAACUUGUUUUUCUGCAGUGUGGUUUGUCAAAAUGUUACCUUCUUCAUAGCAUGCAGAUGGAGCCUAGAAUUAUGAUUUGGUGAUAGCAUCUUAAAGUUUGCUGUUCUAUUUUUAUUGAUCUGCUACUAAGUUUCUUUUGUCAAUUGUUUUGUGAAACAGAUGCAUGAUUAUUACUCUUUUUGAAUUGUGAUUCAAAAACAUGUACCUGUUUACUGUAGUGUAGUAUGUUUGAAAACAAAGAACUUUAGUUAUGAAGCAAUCAGGUUUAUUUUCGUACACACUUCUUGGAUUGUAAAUUAUUUUCAAUUCAUUUAUUUUCUGUGGAGUUUUAUUGUGCAAUUUUCUCGACAAGUCUAUUUUGAUGACAAGUUUAUGGAGGUGUAGUGAAUGUUGGUAUUGAAAAGUUCAGUUGUAGGGUUUCCUUAUGCCAUCAAUACAUUUAAGUUUUUGACUUGUAAUCUGACAGUGUGAAAGUUACAAAAUUCUGGAUAAUGGUCAAAUGAACUGCUUUGUGGAGCUCUCUUCCUAACUAUGAACUUUUGAUCACGGACUUGGUUUGGAGUUCUCUUUAUUUAUUCAUAGCUUUUUCUACAACUAUUUGUCACUUCGUGAUUUUAUUGAACAAGUAUGAUGUAUCAUCUUGUUUUCACAGGGUGCCACAGAAGUCUUCUUUCACAAUCACCUUGUUAACUUUUCUUUCUGAAGUGGAUAAAUUAAAGAUGAGUGCCUGAAUUACCUUGUCAUGUUGGCUGGCUGUGGUAUAUAUUUUCAACUAUUGUUGGGAUUAAUUUGGUGAUGUGAAUUUAGAUUUUAACAUCUAUGCUUACAUGAUUCUUGAUUAUUCUCUGCUAUCUUGGGCGAGAUUAUCUGAUAAUGGUUAUUCUUUGAUCAUGUUCAAGAUGGUGUUGAUUGUCUAUCCAGAACCUUUGUACUACUCUAGCAUAGAUUACAGGAUUUUUGAAUGAUUCUUUGGCCUUCCCAAGAUUAGGAAUUUUGGACAACUGGAUAUAAAUUUGACUCUGAUGAUUUGUUUGUUGGUGAUAACUUAACUUUUUGGGGAGGUUUUCUAAAUCUUCAUUACUGUUUUGUUGUUUUUAUUGUGAUUUAUGAUGAUGAUGAUGAUACUCCUAAAAAGAUACCCUCUUUAUUAUAGUGGCCAAAGGACUCUUCUGUAUUUGGAAGAAGCCAAAAUUAUGUCAUUUCAUAUGGGCACAUGAUUGCAAAUUGGAUGGAAAUUUGGUCAACUCUUCUAAGACUCUUCUUUACAUUUCAGUUUUUUUAUACUCAACACGUAAAAGUUCAGUUCCUUUGAGUUUUCCUUGUGGUUGUUAUAGGGGACAAAGCCUAUAAAUGUGGCUGUUAUAGGGGAGAGAACCUAUAAAUGUGUGGUUCACUGUGGAAUUCGUCGUGACAACUUGGUUGGCACCAGAAUCUGCAAUUGGCUGCUGUUGAUGUGGUGCUUUCAUUUGGUUAUCUCUACUCUGACUAUGCAUUCUACAUGUUUCUUUGUAUAUUUUUAGGAUAUAGUUUUCUUGAUUCCAAGUACCUGUUUUUGCUUUGGUGUUACAGAGGAGAGAGCUGUGAAUGUACUGUCUGAUUUGAAUGCUUUGAGCCUUUGGAUUCAACGGGGUUACUUUUUUCCUUAAGAGUGUUUGUUCUAGUAUGGUGUGGCAGUGCUGGUAUUUAUUUAUGUUUAGAAUUAUGAAUUUGAGUAUAGCAGUGCAUCUCUUUCUUGGAUAAUCAAGAUAUAAGUCUGUUUUGCAGUGAGUUGAACGUUUGUAGAUACUUGAUACAUUUUGUAGGGAGCUGAUCGAUUUUCGAUUUCUGGAUAUCUGGAACAAUUUGCAAGUAUUGAUGAUAAUGGAUAAGAAUGAUAAUGGCUACAGAUACAUAGAUCAAGUUUCUUCACUGAAGUCAUUCUUUAUUAUUUUUAUUUUUGCGCUUUCAUUGUAAAAUACAAAUUGAAUUGUGAACCUGUUUUUCUGCAGUGUGGUUUGUCAAAAUAAUGAUGUUCUUUCAAUCAUAGCAUGGAGCCUCAAGCUUUGGUUUGCCUAUUUCUUUUUAAAACAUUUUCUUGAUAUUUUAUUCCCUCUGGUGAUGCAGGGACAAUAAUGAUUUUCUUUCUCUUGUUUGAUCUUCUGGUUUUGUAUUCUGAUUCUUUUCUCUUGUUUGAUCUUCCGAUUGCGAGGUUUGAUUUGGUUAUAGCUUUGAUACAUGUUAUUUUCUGCAGUGCAGUGUGUUUUGAAAUAAUAACAUUUUAUUAGCAUCAAGCGAAUUAUUUUGGUACCUCUACUUGGAAUGUGAAUUAUUUUCAUUUCAUUUUUUCUCUGCUGACUCUUAUUGUCUAGUCUUCUGGAUUUUCUCCUUUAUGAUUCACCAUCAAUACUUAUUAUUCUUAUGACGAUAGUAGAAUUUUUUUUUGUUUGUGUAUUUUGGGACAGCUUGGUGGGCCUCUCGUUAUGCUGAUCUGUGAAUUGGUUUCAAGAAUUAUGCUACUUUUAUUUCUUGGAUCUUUUUCUACAACCAGUUUGUUACAGUCAAGAAUGACUUCAUUAUUUUGAUCAAACAAGUGUUGUACAGGUUUGGUAUACCACAAGUUUCCUUCUUUCUCAAACACACUGCACAUUUUUAAUCCACUCAAGUUUCUUUGCCGCUUUGUGCCGCUUUUCUUCUGUAAACGAAUUAACCUUACACAUGAACCAUAAUGGUUAGGUGGCUGUAUUAUAUAUCUUUUUCUAGGCUUUAAUUUGGUGAACUGUACUCAUAUUUGAAUUCUUUACAUUUCAUUAUAUCUAUUUCAGCAUACCCGCUUCUUGAUUCCUUUGUGAAAGUUUAUGGUGAGGUUAUCACAUACUUCUCUUUUGGAAAUAAUUGGUAAUUGAUAAGUUAUAUUUAUUUCUUUGAGCGUUGAAGUUUCUGUAACGUGAGUUUUACUCGGUUGUACGUUUAGCAUCUAAGAUUCUGUUGUAACUCUUCCUUUCCCAAGAUUAGGAAUUUUGGACAACUUGGUUAG